ACACUAGUAGGGGAGUGGGAAGUGAGAUAAGGAAGGGAAGAAUGACUGUAAAGAGUGUCUUUUCUGGCAGAUUACUUCUGUGAGCAACUGGGUCUCUCAGUUCUUUGGGAGCACCCUGGGAAACAGUGUGGCUAUGACUUGGAGCUGCUCACCAGUUCCAGUCAUUCUGUGGUUGAGAGCUGCUCCCUAUGGAUGUUAAUUCUUCUCUAUUUUAGAUUUUCCACAGGUGUGGGCCCCAUUAGCUCUGGCCACCUGAGAAAGCCCUCAGGCAAAGAGUCGCAGGUGAAAGCCAGCAGUUAGAGGUUCACAGAAAUGAGUGCAGAAGCAUCUUCAGUUGGAGAGCCAUUGCCUCUUGCUGUGAAAUAUUUGGGAAUCUUCAGAAACCAUGAAGAAUAACCUGCUAAAGCUGAGCUGGGACUCUGCCUGGAUAUAACUUAUGGCCUAUUCUAUAUGGAAAGUUGGUUUUCUCACAGUUCCACUCCCUUUCCAGAUAUCAGCAAAUGGCCCUCCUAGCCCAGAAGUCUCCAGAGAGGGUUUUAUUUUGUCAGUCAAGCUGGAAUGCAGUGGCGUGAACAUUGCUUACUGCAGCUUCAAUCUCCUGAGGUCAAACAAUCUUCUCACCUCAGCCUCGCAAGCAGCUAGGACUACAGGCAUGUGCCACCACGCCCCACUAAUUUUUUAAUUUUUCUUUUGUGGAGACGCAGUCUUGUUAUCUUGAACAGGCUGGUCUUGAACUCUUGGAGUCAAGCAAUCCUUCUGCCUCAGACUCUCAAAGUGCUGGGAUUACAGGCAUGAGCCACCACAUUCAGCCAGGAAAAGUUUUUGUACAUUUAAAAAAUUAUAGGAUAUUUGUGUAUAUAGCUUUGCUGGUUUGACUUCCUAGAAUAGCUCCCAGGAACACAAAGUACUUAAUUGAUUAGUAUAAAAUGAUUAUGUCAUACUCACAUGUUGGUUUUCUAAAUGCACUUAAUUUUUCUGAUUAAGAACUGAAAACUAUGCUGACCAGGGACACUGUAGACCUGUGGCUCAUUUUUGCAUAAAGGUUAUGUGUUUAUUGUCUGAUUUGGUCAUGCCUAUAGGCCAAUAGUGUUUUAUUUUGAAAUGUUUCAAACUUACAAUAAGGCACAAAAAUAAUAUAAUAGACACCAUGGUCUCAGCAUCCAGAUUUAAGAGAUGUUAAGAUGUUACUACGUUUGCUUCAGACUUUUCUAACACACACACAAAAUACUAGAGAUGCAGCCAAAACCCCAUCUAUCAAUCCCUUCCUCUUCUCUCCAGAGGUAGCUAUUACAUUGAAGUCGGUAUGUAAUAUUUCCAUGUUUGGCUUUGUACAUGUUCUACUUAUGUAUGUAUUCAUUAACUUCGUACUACUUUUUAAUGUUCUUAUAUAGUUUCAUUAGUAACAUCCCAGAGGGCAUAUCAUUUGUGAGUUUGAUUUUCUCACUCUUCAUUUCUUUUUUGGGGAUAAUUUAUUCUUGGUACAUGUAGAUCUCCUCACUCCACUACAAUUGCUUUAUGGUACUUAAUAUAUGAAUAAACUAUGGUAUAUUUAUU
rnacentral:lncRNA from 1 species